UACGUAGGGUGCGAGCGUUAAUCGGAAUUACUGGGCGUAAAGCGUGCGCAGGCGGUUCGUUGUGUCGGCGGGGAAAGCCCCGGGCUCAACCUCGGAAUUGCCUUCGAUACUGGGUAUCUUGAGUUCGGGAGAGGUGAGUGGAAUGCCGAGUGUAGAGGUGAAAUUCGUAGAUAUUCGGCGGAACACCAGUGGCGAAGGCGACUCACUGGCCCGAUACUGACGCUGAUGCGCGAAAGCGUGGGGAGCAAACAGG
rnacentral:rRNA from 1 species